rnacentral:rRNA from 1 species
CGGGAAGAGCUCAAAUUUGAAAUCUGGCGGUCUCAGGCCGUCCGAGUUGUAAUCUAGAGAGGUGUUUUCCGUGCCGGACCGUGUACAAGUCCCUUGGAACAGGGCGUCAUAGAGGGUGAGAAUCCCGUCCAUGACACGGACUACCGGUGCUCUGUGAUACACCUUCAAA